GAGGCAGUUGCAAAAUGUGGUUGGAUCUUUGCCAUCAACCUCACAAGGAGGCACAGAUUUCAUUACAACAUUUACAGAAGAAAUAAUCCCAGUGCAGCAGUCUCGAAAUUUACCUAAAUCUUUACCAUCAGGCUUACAAGAUCUCAUUGAAAUUGAAGCCAAUAAAGAAAAUCGCCCUGUUUGUCAAAUUGUACAGCAUAAUGGUAAAUAUAAUAAUGUGUUUGUAAAAUAACUAUAUAACUAUAAAACGCGGCGAUAGCCUAGUUGGGUGUGGA